AUAGCGUAUAUUAAAGUUGUUGCGGUUAAAAAGCUCGUAGUUGAAUCUGUGUUUCACACUGUCGGUUCACCGCUCGCGGUGUUUACUGGCAUGAUGUGGGACGUCCUACCGGUGGGCUUAGCCCUUCGGGGCGGUCCAACUAAUAUCCCAUCGCGGUGCUCUUCAUUGAGUGUCGAGAUGGGCCGGUACGUUUACUUUGAACAAAUUAGAGUGCUUAAAGCAGGCUAGCCUCGCCUGAAUACUGUGUGCAUGGAAUAAUGGAAUAGGACCUCGGUUCUAUUUUGUUGGUUUUCGGAACUCCGAGGUAAUGAUUAAUAGGGACAGAUGGGGGCAUUCGUAUUGCGACGUUAGAGGUGAAAUUCUUGGAUCGUNGCAAGACGGACAGAAGCGAAAGCAUUUGCCAAAAAUGUUUUCAUUAAUCAAGAACGAAAGUUAGAGGUUCGAAGGCGAUCAGAUACCGCCCUAGUUCUAACCAUAAACGAUGCCAGCUAGCGAUCCGCCGAAGUUCCUCCGAUGACUCGACGGGCAGCUUCCGGGAAACCAAAGCUUUUGGGUUCCGGGGGAAGUAUGGUUGCAAAGCUGAAACUUAAAGGAAUUGACGGAAGGGCACCACCAGGAGUGGAGCCUGCGGCUUAAUUUGACUCAACACGGGAAACCUCACCAGGCCCGGACACCGGAAGGAUUGACAGAUUGAUAGCUCUUUCUUGAUUCGGUGGGUGGUGGUGCAUGGCCGUUCUUAGUUGGUGGAGCGAUUUGUCUGGUUAAUUCCGAUAACGAACGAGACUCUAGCCUGCUAAAUAGGCGUACAUUCUGGUAUCACGAAGGCCCUCGGCUUCGGUCGAGUGGUUUUUACUACCAACGUACCAACAAAUCUUCUUAGAGGGACAGGCGGCUUUUAGCCGCACGAGAUUGA
rnacentral:rRNA from 1 species